GCUGCUUUAGCUCAGUUGGUGAGAGCAGGAUGCUAAUAUCACCCAGGUUAUGGAUUUGAUCCCCAAAUGUGUCA